AUUGAACGCUGGCGGCAGGCCUAACACAUGCAAGUCGAGCGGAUGAAGGGAGCUUUCUCCUGGAUUCAGCGGCGGACGGGUGAGUAAUUCCUAGGAAUCUGCCUGGUAGUGGGGGAUAACGUCCGGAAACGGGCGCUAAUACCGCAUACGACCUGAGGGAGAAAGGGGGGGAUCUUCGGACCUCACGCUAUCAGAUGAGCCUAGGUCGGAUUAGCUAGUUGGUGGGGUAAAGGCCUACCAAGGCGACGAUCCGUAACUGGUCUGAGAGGAUGAUCAGUCACACUGGAACUGAGACACGGUCCAGACUCCUACGGGAGGCAGCAGUGGGGAAUAUUGGACAAUGGGCGAAAGCCUGAUCCAGCAAUGCCGCGUGUGUGAAGAAGGUCUUCGGAUUGUAAAGCACUUUAAGUUGGGAGGAAGGGAAGUAAGUGAAUACCUUGCUGUUUUGACGUUACCAACAGAAUAAGCACCGGCUAACUUCGUG
rnacentral:rRNA from 1 species